UACGAAGGGGGCUAGCGUUGCUCGGAAUCACUGGGCGUAAAGCGCACGUAGGCGGCUUUUUAAGUCAGAGGUGAAAUCCCUGGAGCUCAACUCCAGAACUGCCUUUGAUACUGGAGAGCUUGAGUCCGGGAGAGGUGAGUGGAACUGCGAGUGUAGAGGUGAAAAUUCGUAGAUAUUCGCAAGAACACCAGUGGCGAAGGCGGCUCACUGGCCCGGUACUGACGCUGAGGUGCGAAAGCG
rnacentral:rRNA from 1 species